UACGUAGGGGGCUAGCGUUGUUCGGAUUCAUUGGGCGUAAAGAGCUCGUAGGCGGCUUGUCACGUCGGGUGUGAAAGCCCGGGGCUUAACCCCGGGUCUGCAUUCGAUACGGGCUAGCUAGAGUGUGGUAGGGGAGAUCGGAAUUCCUGGUGUAGCGGUGAAAUGCGCAGAUAUCAGGAGGAACACCGGUGGCGAAGGCGGAUCUCUGGGCCAUUACUGACGCUGAGGAGCGAAAGCGUGGGGAGCGAACAGG
rnacentral:rRNA from 1 species